GUCUCCUUAGUUCAACGGACAGAAUAUUUGGCUACGAACCAGAAGAUGAAGGUUCGAUUCCUUUGGGGGAUACCA
rnacentral:tRNA from 1 species